AUGCAAUCAAUCGUUUCGGCUUCAAUGGCCUUGUCCGUUUAUAGCAAUCCACCGUCUUAAUAAGUCGUCACUGAAAUCAGGUAGAGCUACAGCGGACACAUGGCGGAGAUGGCGACGUCCGGGCGCGUUCACCUCUCUCCCUUGGCUGCUUCACCUCCUCUUUCUCCACUGUGUUCGUAUAUUAGUACCACGUUAGGUUAGGUCUGCGACAUGAAAAAGUCGGAGCUCCUACAUCAACAUCACCGGCGAUUGUUAGAAGAACUGUCUAAGCGGUUGAUUUAGAUUUAAGACCUUCACAUGUCGGCAACGCUUCAAAUUAGAAGAAAGCAAGCAGAUGUGGAGUUUUAAUUGAACAAAGUUGGCAUGUGCUAAUUGUUUGAUUUUUUUUUCUGUAUAGCUACUGAAAUAAAGUUGAUUUGUAUAUUUGUAGGUGGAAGCUGUUAGAUUUUGUGGAACUUAAUGUGUGAGUCUUGAUAAUCAAGAAAGAAAGAGCCAUUUUGUGUUGGUCCAUAUGCAAGAACAACGGCUGCAAUACCAAGAUAAAUAUGCAAUGGAUGUUGAGAAUCGGAAUUUGAAAAUCGUUGAGAAAUUUGAAUGUCUGAGCCACCUAGAGUCGUGAGUUCAGUAAUGGAUGUUGCUGAAUCGGAAUCACGACCGGUUGUGGAAUUGCGUAAACCGGUUGUGAAACCUAAGAGUAAAGUAGGAAAACGGGAGGAAGUUAAGAAAUCGUCGUCGUCUGUCGCUGUGACGGUCAAUUUGUCGCUACAUUCUAAGUUAAUUACGCCUCCGCCGCCGUCGGUUUUCAGAUGGAAGGAUUGUAAGAUGCUGAAGUCGAAUUUUUCGUGUCGUGCUCGUCGGACGCUUCCUCUAAUUCUUCGCACAGUCGAGCGUCUGUUGGGAGGAUUAGUCGACGGAGUGUGACGUCGGUCCGUGGUAAGGAAUCUGCUGGUUUGA
rnacentral:lncRNA from 1 species